UUAAGACUAACCAACCUGCUUCUGUUGCUCCUCAUGUGUAUAAACCACUUGGCAGACCACCAAAGUAAAGAAAAAGAGAUCCUGAAGAGCCAAGGAACCCUUAUAGAGUUUCUAGGAUGAACAAGACAAUUAAGUGUGGGAAGUGCAAGAAAGAAGGACAUAAUGCAUGAGGGUGCAAGGCAAGCAUCACUGGUGAAACUCCAUGGCAGAGAAGAGAUAGACUUGCUAAAUCAGCAGCUGUAAGUAUUUCCAUGCUUUGAACUAUAUUAAUUUCCUCAAGUAUUUCGUGUCCAAGUGCAUCUGUGAGCACUAGUCAAGGAAGUGGUGGUGGUGCUGCUAGGGGGUUUAAAGGCAGAAAGUUUCAACCAGUUGGUGGAAAGGGCAAGAAUGCAGCUGGCAAAGGCACCUAAAGUAGUAAAUGACAACUUGGAAGAUGUUAAAGUUUCAACCACUUUUUUGUUAUAGUUCACUCGUUUAAUGUAUAUGUCAAGUGUCAAAAACAAUAUUGGCAAUUUUGGUUGAAAAUGUGUAUGUCUGAGCACUAGUGGACUAGUAGUUGGGUUUUAAUUGGAAGAUGUGUAAAGUCACAGGAUGUGCCAAAAACAAUGUUGGCAAUUUUGUAUGCAUGUGACAUAAAGUAUUUUGUUAAUGUCUUCACUUUUAUUUUGUAAAGUCACAGGAUGUUAAUGUCUUCACUUUUAUUUUGUGAA